UACGGGGGGGACGAGUGUUACUCAUAGUGAUUGGGCGUAAAGGGUACGUAGGCGGCCUUUCAAGCUCUGUUCUAAAUCCCACGGCGCAACCGUGGUAAUUACAGAGUAGUGUUAGAGCUUGAGUUUGGUCGAGGUGCGCGGUACUCUUAGAGUAAAGGUAACAAUUAUUGAUACUAAGGGGACCCCCAAGAGCGAAAGCAGCAAACCAGAUUAAACUGACGUUAAGGUACGGAGGCAUGGGGAUCGAACAGG
rnacentral:rRNA from 1 species